rnacentral:rRNA from 1 species
GGGUUGUGAGGUUAAGCGACUAAGCGUACACGGUGGAUGCCCUGGCAGUCAGAGGCGAUGAAGGACGUGCUAAUCUGCGAUAAGCGUCGGUAAGGUGAUAUGAACCGUUAUAACCGGCGAUUUCCGAAUGGGGAAACCCAGUGUGAUUCGUCACACUAUCAUUAACUGAAUCCAUAGGUUAAUGAGGCGAACCGGGGGAACUGAAACAUCUAAGUACCCCGAGGAAAAGAAAUCAACCGAGAUUCCCCCAGUAGCGGCGAGCGAACGGGGAGGAGCCCAGAGCCUGAAUCAGUGUGUGUGUUAGUGGAAGUGUCUGGAAAGGCGCGCGAUACAGGGUGACAGCCCCGUACACAAAAAUGCACAUGCUGUGAGCUCGAUGAGUAGGGCGGGACACGUGGUAUCCUGUCUGAAUAUGGGGGGACCAUCCUCCAAGGCUAAAUACUCCUGACUGACCGAUAGUGAACCAGUACCGUGAGGGAAAGGCGAAAAGAACCCCGGCGAGGGGAGUGAAAAAGAACCUGAAACCGUGUACGUACAAGCAGUGGGAGCACGCUUAGGCGUGUGACUGCGUACCUUUUGUAUAAUGGGUCAGCGACUUAUAUUCUGUAGCAAGGUUAACCGAAUAGGGGAGCCGAAGGGAAACCGAGUCUUAACUGGGCGUUAAGUUGCAGGGUAUAGACCCGAAACCCGGUGAUCUAGCCAUGGGCAGGUUGAAGGUUGGGUAACACUAACUGGAGGACCGAACCGACUAAUGUUGAAAAAUUAGCGGAUGACUUGUGGCUGGGGGUGAAAGGCCAAUCAAACCGGGAGAUAGCUGGUUCUCCCCGAAAGCUAUUUAGGUAGCGCCUCGUGAAUUCAUCUCCGGGGGUAGAGCACUGUUUCGGCAAGGGGGUCAUCCCGACUUACCAACCCGAUGCAAACUGCGAAUACCGGAGAAUGUUAUCACGGGAGACACACGGCGGGUGCUAACGUCCGUCGUGAAGAGGGAAACAACCCAGACCGCCAGCUAAGGUCCCAAAGUCAUGGUUAAGUGGGAAACGAUGUGGGAAGGCCCAGACAGCCAGGAUGUUGGCUUAGAAGCAGCCAUCAUUUAAAGAAAGCGUAAUAGCUCACUGGUCGAGUCGGCCUGCGCGGAAGAUGUAACGGGGCUAAACCAUGCACCGAAGCUGCGGCAGCGACGCUGAUGCGUUGUUGGGUAGGGGAGCGUUCUGUAAGCCUGCGAAGGUGUGCUGUGAGGCAUGCUGGAGGUAUCAGAAGUGCGAAUGCUGACAUAAGUAACGAUAAAGCGGGUGAAAAGCCCGCUCGCCGGAAGACCAAGGGUUCCUGUCCAACGUUAAUCGGGGCAGGGUGAGUCGACCCCUAAGGCGAGGCCGAAAGGCGUAGUCGAUGGGAAACAGGUUAAUAUUCCUGUACUUGGUGUUACUGCGAAGGGGGGACGGAGAAGGCUAUGUUGGCCGGGCGACGGUUGUCCCGGUUUAAGCGUGUAGGCUGGU